GAACUUGGUCUCCCUACCCGGCGGAAGACCCGGUAACUCACUUGGAAAUACAUCCAUGAACUCACUCACUAUAGGUAUUUGUUCCAUGGUCGCCCCCACUCUCUGGGUAUCAACCACAUGACACAAAUAACCUACACACCCCUUCCUUAAUAAUUUCCUAGUUUGUGUCAUGGUAAAACAACACGAAUGUCCCGGCGAUUUAUUCCUGUAAAAUAUUACAUGAGAUUGAAUUGAUGUUUUAAUAUUUAUGCAUUUCUUUUGACAAUCUAUAAUUGCCUCGUGAUUAAUCAACCAAUCCAUUUCGAGGAUUACAUAGAAUUCUCCGAACUUUAUCGGUAUAAGAUCUACCGAUAAUUUAUAACCUCGAAUGUCUACGCAGCAACUCCUAUAAAUAUCUUCAACAGGAAUUAUCUCUGCGUUUGCUACCUUAAUGUUCAAAGGUAUAGAAAACUUUUUGGGAAGUAAUCCUAGUCGUCUAGCAAAAUCACAUGCAAUAAACGAACAAGAAGCUCCCGAGUCAAACAGCACAUAUGC
rnacentral:lncRNA from 1 species